rnacentral:rRNA from 1 species
UGUUGCAUGGCUGUCGUAAGUUCGUGUCGUGAGACGUUUCUUUAAGUAGAAUAACGAACGAAACCCCUAUCGUGUGUUGAAUUUUCACGCGAGACUGCUCUUGAUUAUAUCAAGGGAGGAAGGAGGGGACGACGUCAAGUCAGCAUGACGCUUACACCUGGGGCCACACACAUCCUACAAUGGGAAGUACAAUGGGUUGCCAACCAGCAAUGGGGAGCCAAUCCCGUAAAACUUCCCUCAGUUCAGAUUGAGGGCUGCAACUCGCCCUCAUGAAGUCGGAAUCGGUAGUAAUCGCAAAUCAGCAGAUUGCGGUGAAUACGUUCUCGCUCCUUGUACACACCGCCCGUCAAGUGAGCAAAGUUGGCAGUACCUGAAGUUGGUGUCUUUAACCCCGCCUCGGCGGGGGUGAGCCCACCUAAGGUAAGGUCAGCGAUGAGCGCUAAGUCGU